AUGUAUUUUAUUUUAUGUAUUCAAAAACAUUAUUCUGAGAAGGAUGCAUAGGCUUCCCAGACUGACCAAGGAAUACCUGACACGUAAAAGGUUAAGAACCUUGGUCCUAGAAGGCCCUCUAGAUUUUACCAGCACUUGCAGACUUAACUCGUGCCUGUGGGAGGAAUGGUAUAGUUUUCAGCUAGUCUUUCACUUUCUUUCUAGGUGCUUGCCUAUGUAACCGUUAAAUGCAGUCUGUAUGUCUAUCAGGUCCUGCCCCUGUCUGUCUUUGUCUCUUUCUGUCCCUUUCUCUUUUCCUGGCUUUUCUCUCUUUUAGUCUCAUUCUAUCUCAAUCUGUCUCUUCUGUCUUAUUGGUUCCUUGCCCUCCUUCUCCGAGCUCUCUCUCCCCCCCCCCCCUUUUGUGGAUUUGGAGGGAAUUGUAAACCAUGUUUAAUUUAACGGAUGCUUUAGGAUUUUCACUCGAUCCUUCCCAAGUAAUAAUUGUCAGAUCACAUAUCUGCUAGUUGAGUUCUUUCUGUUAAGCCAAAACGUGCUUUCUGUAGUGUUAUGUGAGGAAACUUUACUGGCAGAGGGACUGCAAAGAGUCCAAGAGUCUGGUGGGAAGAGAUAGGGGUUAAUUUCCUGGAUUACUGAUUUUCUUCUACUUGUGAAUUUAAUUGUAUUCUACACGGCACAUGAUAUUUUAUGGCUAAUACUGAAAUUCCAAGACCUAAUAAGUGUAACCUCAAAGUCGUUUGAAUCCCUCUAUUUGUUUUUCCAAAAAUUUUAAACAAAGGACAGAAGCUUUCCUCUAUCAAUAUGGACCACUAACAAAAUUACAUCCUUAUGGUUUAGGAAUCUUUGGGACAAAAUCAUUUGUGGUGAAAUCUGAAAAUGUCUGAUGGAAGCCUGAAGUUUCUGAUGUUUUUCUUUGUUGUUGUUUUUUCCCCUUUCUUUUGGUUCCCAAUUGAAGGAGAAGGAGCUAUUUUUUUCAUUCCUCUCCUUAGACCCUAUUCCCAAGCCAUCUAAGCUAAUGCUGGGGCACCUGCUCUGUUUACACUGCUCCUGAACUUAGUGUCACUGUCGCUAGUUCCAUAACCCUGCUGUAACAGGCUCCAUCUGUUGCCAAACUCACCUAGGCUCAAGAUCAAUCCCAAAGUCUUAAAGCUUUUAACCUUUUGGUAAAGUGGCAUUGUUUCUGAGAAACUCCAAAUACAUCUUGACCUUUCUCUGUCCCUUAGAACCCAUUCGUCAGAAUAUGCAGCAUGAAUGGUAGCUGUAAAAAUGACUUGAGAUGAAGAUGUUCCUAGCCUAGUGGUCUUACUCCUUUACAUCUCCUCUCCCUUCCCUACCCAACUCAAUUUCCUAAUGGCUCUUUUCCUAUUUCUGCUGCAGCAUAAUUUCUUUCCACAUUUGUUAUGAACAGCUCUGUUUAUUUUAGCAAACUGAAAAUCUACUUCAAGUCAGAGGGACUAAAGGAGACCUGUCCAUGAUUAGGAGGAUUUUUUUUUCUUUGGCUUCCCUCAGAGUCUCUUAGGAACCCCCCCCCCCCCAAACAAACAAACAAACAAAAAUAACCCAACUUACACAGAGCACUUCAGGGGUAUCUGACCAUAGUUUUUAAGAUGGGUGUGCAAACACUUCCAUGCUUCCUCCAACUAGCAACUAAAGUGUGGCUCUUGCAGGAAACCCCUUUUCUGAUCACUUGUCCCCCUUCUCAGAUUUAUAUCUAUUGUUCUCUACCUGGGCAUAUUUAGAAGAAAACUGCAGGGUAUCCACCAACUGAUGGUUUAAAAAAAAGGGAGGUAGAAAAAAAGAAUAGUUUAUUUCUCUAACAUUUUCCAAAGGACGACUGUCCAAUUCAACCUUGUGAUCUUGGGAGGAGGUUUGGGAAAAAGGAGGGGGCAAGAGGAGAGAGAAAGUGGCUUCAGUGUGCCAACAAGCAAGGCAUCUGAUCUUGCUGCGAUAAGAUCAGCUUUCUGUUCAGUUCUCCCGGCGGCCAAGUGUUUGCGGCCAGCCGUGGUAACGCGUUUGUUUACAAAAUCCCACUGGCUAGAAGGUGUGCUCUCCUUCCAGCCCCUAAUUUCCACCCCCACCCCAUCACCAGCCCACCGUUAACCCUUCGUGUGCCCUCGCUCCUGGAUGCCUGGCGCCUGAGCUGGAAGCUUGGCCUGCAGUCGCUGUGUGCGAAUGGGGGCACUGCCCGGCUUCCCAAAAUCCUGCGGGAGCUUUGUUUGAGUGGCGAGCAGAGGGUGUGAGCCUUUGAUAUGCGUCCCCCCCCAAAAAAAAAAAGAGGGAGUGAGGGGUGGUGGAGGAGAAAACAAUAAUAAAAACAAAACCGGGCUAAAGCACUCCCUCUCCCCCUCGGCCCUCCUUGUUUCCCACCCCCUUGUAACUUUCAGUCUCCAGUGAGAUUCUGCGGGGUCUCUCAUACUACACACAGCUGCUGGGAAUCUUUCCCGAAAUCUAGAAAGGCAUGGGACUCGUAGCCAAGCCUGGUUCAAGACAAAGUCUUGACAUAGAACCCAUUGUUGCACCUCAGAUGUUGGGAAUUGGAAUCCACAUAACAGAACGUCAUGCAGAUAUUGAGUAUCUUCCCUUACAAUGGGCUAGGUGAGAAGAGGGAGGGCUCCUCAUUUUCUUCAGCAAACAACCUUUUAUAAGGAUUUUGGCAAAAGGGGAAGCUAAAGAUGAAGAAGCAAGUUAAUAGGGAAAAAGGACAUUUUUUUCAGCAGUACAAAUCAGAUCCCAUGUCUCUCUUAUUAUCUCUAGGAUAAAUAUCUUUGAGAGGGCUCAUUAUUAUCUGAUUAAUUUCUAUUUUUCCAUUAUUUUUAUCCGUUAAUUCCAUAUAUAUCAGCUCUACUAACCUCUUUGCUCUUCAUCAGACAUGACCAUUUGUUUAUUGUCCUAUUGCCUUUUUUAUAUCCUAUUAUUAUCCUAUGCCCUUUGUCUGAUAGUCUCUUAUAUUUAGAUUUUUCUCUCUGUCCUUACCUCUACUUCUCCAGAGUCCUUUGCUUCCUCCAGAACUCAUUUCAAGGGUUACUUUCAUCUGGUGGGCUAUCCUAGUACUUUCAAUUAUUCCUGCCUUCCCAUCCAACAUUACCUUGGAUCUGCUUUGGAUAUGUCUUAUACAUAUUAUAUAUGUACAUAUUGCCUCACCAACAGAAAU